rnacentral:rRNA from 1 species
AACGAACGCUGGCGGCAGGCUUAACACAUGCAAGUCGAGCGCCCCGCAAGGGGAGCGGCAGACGGGUGAGUAACGCGUGGGAAUCUUCCCAUCUCUACGGAAUAACGCAUGGAAACGUGUGCUAAUACCGUAUACGUCCUUCGGGAGAAAGAUUUAUCGGAGAUGGAUGAGCCCGCGUUGGAUUAGCUAGUUGGUGGGGUAAAGGCCUACCAAGGCGACGAUCCAUAGCUGGUCUGAGGGGAGGAUCAGCCACACUGGGACUGAGACACGGCCCAGACUCCUACGGGAGGCAGCAGUGGGGAAUAUUGGACAAUGGGCGCAAGCCUGAUCCAGCCAUGCCGCGUGAGUGAUGAAGGCCCUAGGGUUGUAAAGCUCUUUCACCGGUGAAGAUAAUGACGGUAACCGGAGAAGAAGCCCCGGCUAACUUCGUGCCAGCCGCCGCAGUAACAC